CGAAACUCUCUCCUACAAAAAUGGAGUCAAACGUCAACAACACGAAGAAGGAGGACGUCUGCUUGGUUCCCACAUCUUUAGGUAGACAUGUAUCUGGUAGAACCACCAGCGGAACUCCCCAAUCCCAGAACAUUAGACCACCGCAACACGAUAUGUACUGUUGUCACUUUUUACUAUUGUUACACCAGCUCCAUAAUAUGGAAUAAUAUAUGCCGACCCCUUGCAUUGCAAUCAAAACGUACUUAGCUUUGCCAAGCCAAUGGAUAACCUAAGUAGAAUCGGUCAAUUCCAAUCAUGCCUAAGAACAUUGAUAGGAGAAGUGCUGUAUCAAAGCGAUAACCAUUUCUGUUUAUUUCUAAAUAAUUAUUUCUAAAUAAACUUAUGUCCUUUUCCAAGGAA